rnacentral:lncRNA from 1 species
UGUGAGGUCUGAUUUGUUCACUGUUGUUGCCACAAUGCCUGGAACAGUGUUUGGCACAGAAUAGGUGCUCACCAAAGAGUUUUCCUUGGCUAGAUAAGCCAAAGAACAGAUACUCUGAUGGGUAGGGGAAUGGGUAGAUGGAAAGGUUUUUAGAAAGCUUGGCGAAGGAGGUAAUACAUAUGCUGGAUGUUGAGGAAUAAAGUAUCUACCAAAAGAGGAAGAGGGGAAAAUGUUUUCUGGAAGAAGAAAAUUCACUUGUCAUAUUUACAAUGCAGGGGCAUGAAACAGGAUGGCAAAUUUGAGGAAAAGAAAGAUGGUGGAACGGAGGAGUCUGGGUCAAGUCAAAGGGAAGAGGGUCACCAUAAAGACUUGCAUUUAUAAUCUUAUUGAAGACAGGCAGCAUGCAUACCCUCAGGAUGAAGUCAGUGGAACUGCACAGAGUGCCCCCAUACUUUGGAGUAUCUUCUUUAAAAUGGAACUUGGCCUCCAUUUCUUCCAUCUGGGGCACUCUUAGGCUGUUUACCCCAUGUAUGGAGUCAAACAGAUGCCCCAGGGAGCUCUAGAACAAUGCCUAUGGGGUCAUCCUGGGCCCCCCUGGCCGAGCCCCAGUUCUAGGAGGAUGACCUAGCAAGCAACAGGCUCCCAUUGGCUGGCAUGGGUUUUAUCUCACGGAAUUAUGUGAGAUUGCACCACUAAAAUGCUGCUGCCAGGUGGAGUUUAGGAUGACUAUUACUCAUGCCAGACACACGCUGAGUUUGGGGCUUUGUCUGUUGACAGAUCAUUGUCAAUCCUUGGGUCUGUUGGGUGGGCACCGGUAUUGGCUUUUGCCAUGUUCUGACAGCAGUGCCACCUGCAGGAUAUAACACCCAAGGGCAACUGGAUGGUGGCAGGUGUCCUUUAUCCUGUGUUCCUCUUAGUCUGCUGCUGAUACUCAGGGGGGCUACUCACCUCCUCUGAAGGCUCCAUGGAUAGUGGGAUUGACCAUGCCUAUCUCCUCUGAGGGCUCUACAAUGUCAGAUGGCUUUUUAAUCGACGUCCUCUCCUGCCUCUGUCCAUGUGCUGAUGUCCUGCUCUCCUCUCAGAGGGGACACAGUUUAAUGCAUGACACCUUCAAUUCCCAAGGUUGCUUCACAGCUGGUUUCCCCCAGCGUGAAACUCAGUGGAAGUGAAGCUGACACUGGCA